AAAGCUCGUAGUUGGAUUCAGAGGUGGGGUUGUGGGUCGGGUGUGGCCCGGCAGCUUGUCUCCGUGUGCCGCUCCCAAUCAACCCGCGUUUGCCCCAGCCUCCUAUCGCACGGAAACGGAGUCCUGCUGGGGUCUCCUUAACUGGGGGUUCCAGCGCUUCCGCGCACAACGUGCGCUUACGGACCGUCCGUGGACGUUACUGUGAACAAAACAGCGUGUUCAAAGCAAGUGGCUUGCCUGCCCUGCAUGUUAAAGCAUGGAAUAACAAGGCAUCGACCACUCGGCGGUGCUUUUGUUGGUCUUUCCCUCCCGGUGGGAAUGCGCAGGCGUGCACACUGCCGGCCUUCUGGCCGGUCUGGGUGCCGUCUCUUCGAGAUCAAUAGGGGCAAACGGGGAGAUACCUAUUGUGGGGAGAGCGGUGAAAUGCGAUGACCCCCAUAAGAGGAACUUCAGCGAAAGCAGUUCUCAAGACUGCCUUCGUUAAUCAAGAACGAGACUGUGGGGAUCAAAGGAUGAUCAGAUACCGUCGUAGUCCACUAGCGUAAACGAUGCCGACUCAUCAUUGGGGGGCAUCUCUA
rnacentral:rRNA from 1 species